AUAGAAAAUCACCAAAUAUAAAGCUAAAAUCACUCGUUCCGCCAAUACUUAGGCGAAAUAAUUCACUUAAGCGCCAUAUGUUUUAGAUCCAAAAACUUAAAACGCGAAAGUCCAAAAAUUAAAACCCUUCACUUUACCACAAAAUAAAACAUGUCUCAAAAAAAAAAAAAAAUCCCAAGUCGAAGAAAGAGAUUUGUUGGAUCUGAGACAUAGCCAUAGCCUCCAGCGUGAAGCUCGUCGCCGGCCUCCAGCGUGAAGCUCGUCGCCGGCCUCCACCGUGAAGCUCGUCGCCGGCUUUCACAGUGAAGCUCGUCGUCACGACGGAACACAGUUAAGGAGUUUGGUGAGAGCUGGAGCAGAUUCAAGCCAUGGAUCUGGUGGUUGGUAAGUGACGGCAAUUACUGUGAAUAUGAGAACUGUGAAGACGAAGACUGAGAAAGAGUGAACACAUGGUAAUGAAGCUCCAAACUUGAGGGUGCUUGCGGACAAGGUUGCAGGUUCUGGAUUUUUUGGUGUAGUUCCUGAUUAUACAAAAGAUUUUGAGGUUCUGAAUUCUUACCUCUUGAUAUAUAGCAAAAUUGGUGGAUGAAUCUUUUGACGCUAGAGAAAUGGAGUAUGUGCGUUUAGUAUCCGCUGUUUGUUGGAUAUAUGGUGAGAUCCCAUUUGUUUCAAAAUUAUUUUCUUUUGGUAAGUUGUGAAGCAGAGAGAGAUGGAAUCCUGGAGUCUCUAGAAGUGACGUAGUCAAGGUUCUCUCCUUCUUUGUUUCUUACUUUGCCUCAGUCAGUCUGGAGCUUUCAAGUUGUCAAAAGAUGGUUUUCUAUUGCUCCAAUUUGCUCCUUUUGCUGGUGUACGACAAUAUAAUUGGGGCAAGAAACAGGUUUCGUUUUAUCUCUUAACUUCAUAUGGUCCAUUAAGCUGUAACUUUGUUAAGACCAUCUCACUGGAUUUGGUGUUAAAAGACAGUCUUUUUUCUUGUCACUUAUUCAGCCUAAGUAAGUAAAUAUAAUCUUCUUCUUGAUUCUUGUCAGAAUGGUUUAAACAUUGUCUCUAACAGUUUUGAUCUCUGUAUAUAUAUUAGGUGUGAUUGAAUUACUUACUCGGAUCAUGUUAUUUUUCAUGUUGCACUUGAUUCGCCUCCAAGCUUCUGUUUGUGCUCUCUUGUCCUAUGCUACUGUUGUUGUUGCUGCAGCUUCUGUCUCUUCUCCUAUGCUACUGUUUUUGUUGCUGCAGCUUCUGCAAAAGAGAUCUCAGACAGCCAACGACAAAGAAAAGAACCAAGCUAUAGAGGAUUUGGAGAUGGCAGUGAAGUGUGGACAUCAACCUAAGUUCUUGGAGGGAGAUAAAGAGCAAAUCAAUGGAGUUCUUCGUUUAGUCCAUCUGAAUUACAAUACUUGUCUUGUUUAAGACCUUGUUUUAAAUGGUGUUGAAUACUAAACUAUGUAUCUUUUGAUGAUCUAUGGAAAGAAACAUGUUUUUAAUAAAUUGGUUUUGUAGCAUAUAAUUAAUUGGAUUUCAAAUAUAUAUAUUUUAAUUGCAUAUGAUGUAUUAACGUAUAAAAAGGUGCUAUAAAAAAAUUAAAGCAUUUUAAUAACGCUAUGGUAGAAAGUACCUAUAAUAGCACGAAAAAUGACUUAAUACAUAAUU